rnacentral:rRNA from 1 species
UACGAGGGGGGCAAGCGUUGUUCGGAAUUAUUGGGCGUAAAGGGUGCGUAGGCGGUUUGUUAAGUCUUAUGUGAAAUCUACAGGCUCAACUUGUAGUCUGCAUGAGAAACUGCCGGGCUUGAGUAUGGGAGAGGUGAGUGGAAUUCCUGGUGUAGCGGUGAAAUGCGUAGAUAUCAGGAGGAACACCUGUGGCGAAAGCGGCUCACUGGACCAUAACUGACGCUGAUGCACGAAAGCUAGGGGAGCAAACAGG